rnacentral:rRNA from 1 species
AGAACGAACGCUGGCGGCGUGGAUAAGACAUGCAAGUCGAACGAGGCGAUGCGCGUAGCAAUACGUGUAGAGCUUAGUGGCGCAAGGGUGCGUAACACGUGGGCAACCUGCCCUGAAGUUGGGGAUAGCCCGCCGAAAGGCGGAUUAAUACCGAAUGUGGCUAGAGAAGACCUCUUCUCGACGCCAAAGCCGGGGCAACCUGGCGCUUCUGGAUGGGCCCGCGGCCUAUCAGCUAGUUGGUGAGGUAACGGCUCACCAAGGCGAUGACGGGUAGC